rnacentral:rRNA from 1 species
CCUACGGGUGGCAGCAGUGAGGAAUAUUGGUCAAUGGGCGGGAGCCUGAACCAGCCAAGUCGCGUGAAGGAAGAAGGUACUGAGUAGUGUAAACUUCUUUUGUCGGGGAACAAAGGCGGAGACGCGUCUCCGGAUGAGUGUACCCGAAGAAAAAGCAUCGGCUAACGCCGUGCCAGCAGCCGCGGUAAUACGGAGGAUGCGAGCGUUAUCCGGAUGGAUUGGGGUUAAAGGGUGCGCAGGCGGGAGAUCAAGUCAGCGGUAAAAUGUCGGGGCUCAACCCCGGCCGGCCGUUGAAACUGGUUUUCUAGCGUUGGCGAGCUGUAUGCGCCAUUCGUGGUGUAGCGG